AAGACCUUGCGCUUUUGGAGCGGCCGAUGUCUGAUUAGCUUGUUGGUGAGGUAAAAGCUUACCAAGGCUUCGAUCAGUAGCUGGUCUGAGAGGACGGCCAGCCACACUGGGACUGAGAUACGGCCCAGACUCCUACGGGAGGCAGCAGUGGGGAAUUUUGGACAAUGGGGGCAACCCUGAUCCAGCCAUGCCGCGUGAGUGAAGAAGGCCUUCGGGUUGUAAAGCUCUUUCAGCCGGAACGAAACGGUUACGGUUAAUACCCGUGACUACUGACGGUACCGGAAGAAGAAGCACCGGCUAACUACGUGCCAGCAGCCGCGGUAAUACGUAGGGUGCAAGCGUUAAUCGGAAUUACUGGGCGUAAAGCGUGCGCAGGUGGUUUUGUAAGUCAGAUGUGAAAUCCCCGGGCUUAACCUGGGAACU
rnacentral:rRNA from 1 species